rnacentral:rRNA from 1 species
AUUGAACGCUGGCGGCAUGCUUUACACAUGCAAGUCGAACGGCAGCACGGGCUUCGGCCUGGUGGCGAGUGGCGAACGGGUGAGUAAUAUAUCGGAACGUACCCAAGAGUGGGGGAUAACGUAGCGAAAGUUACGCUAAUACCGCAUACGAUCUAUGGAUGAAAGUGGGGGAUCGCAAGACCUCAUGCUCCUGGAGCGGCCGAUAUCUGAUUAGCUAGUUGGUGAGGUAAAGGCUCACCAAGGCGACGAUCAGUAGCUGGUCUGAGAGGACGACCAGCCACACUGGAACUGAGACACGGUCCAGACUCCUACGGGAGGCAGCAGUGGGGAAUUUUGGACAAUGGGCGCAAGCCUGAUCCAGCAAUGCCGCGUGAGUGAAGAAGGCCUUCGGGUUGUAAAGCUCUUUUGUCAGGGAAGAAACGGUGGGAGCUAAUAUCUCCUACUAAUGACGGUACCUGAAGAAUAAGCACCGGCUAACUACGUGCCAGCAGCCGCGGUAAUACGUAGGGUGCAAGCGUUAAUCCGAAUUACUGGGCGUAAAGCCGUGCGCAGGCU